CCUACGGGGUGCAGCAGUGGGGAAUUUUGGACAAUGGGCGCAAGCCUGAUCCAGCUAUUCCGCGUGUGGGAAGACGGCCUUCGGGUUGUAAACCACUUUUGUAGAGAACGAAAAGUCUAUUGAUAAUACCGAUAGAUGAUGACGGUACUCUAAGAAUAAGCACCGGCUAACUACGUGCCAGCAGCCGCGGUAAUACGUAGGGUGCGAGCGUUAAUCGGAAUUACUGGGCGUAAAGGGUGUGCAGGCGGUUUUGCAAGAUGGAUGUGAAAGCCCCGGGCUUAACCUGGGAAAGCCAUACAUGACUGCAAGACUAGAGUGCGUCAGAGGGGGGUGGAAUUCCAAGUGUAGCAGUGAAAUGCGUAGAUAUUUGGAAGAACACCGAUGGCGAAGGCAGCCCCCUGGGACGCAACUGACGCUCAUACACGAAAGCGUGGGGAGCAAACAGGAUUAGAUACCCGAGUAGUC
rnacentral:rRNA from 1 species